rnacentral:lncRNA from 1 species
CCUGCGGCUGCGGCUUCUGCUGCGGCUUUUGCAGCCGCUGGACAUGGUGCGGCGCCUGCCGGCGUCGCUGCAGCCGCCGCUGCCGGUGACGGCGGCGGCAGGGCGGGCGCGGGACAGCUGCCGGUGAGGGAGAGCGAAUGCACUAGGUCCAGUCCCACCUGCUGGGGGCAGAGGGGCAGAGGGGCAAAGGGAAGGGCGCAGGCACAGCCGCUUGUGUGAGCACCUACUGUGUAAGUCGCCGUUAGGGUAUUUGUACACCCCCUUUCACCACAGCUACACCCCCUUUCACCACAGCUUAGGGCGGAGGAGUACGAGGAAUCAGUGCGUGGGAGGCAAGACAUCCCAUCCAGCCCGCAGGCACACGCACACGCCCCUCUCCUCGCGUUUUUGAAGCUCUUACACACACGCACC